AUGGAAGGAGAUUUUCUUAAUAUCAGGUUUAUAACUACCCCUGAGUGCCAAUAAAUCAAUAUCUAAUUGCAGUGCUGUUAAAAUCAAUUGAUAAAUUUGUUUUUAUGGUUCUUAUAGGGAGGUAACUACUAAGAAUAGAAAGUACUAUCUCUGCCAUGAUAAAUCACCCCCAGGAAAACCAGCUUAUCCCAGCUCAGGGUGGCCACAAAACCAACAUUCCACAACCAGAACAGCAGAACUGGCAUCAGCCUGUUUCAGCUGCUUCCCCCAAUGCUUGAAGGGAAGCAAGCUGCACUGAAUGCCUGCUUGAAGGAUGGGCAGAGCUGAGGGUCAGCACCAACUAGCCAUGGAAAUGUAAAAUGCCAGCCUGAGAGGGUAGGAAGGAACCAGACCUGGGCCUCACACCACUAAAGGGCCUGUUGUGUGAACUCCCUGAAAGGAGCCUUUGUUUCCAUAGGCAACAGAACUGCUGUGGCAAUAUGGAUCAAACACAUCCGGAUUUACUUUUAUGCUUCUGAGGCAGGUUUCCAGAGGUGCAAGCCACAGAGACCUGGUACACUCUGCUGAUUCAGUGCAAGUGGAGGCUAAUCCUGAGUUAAGUACACAAAGCUUUACAGAUGUUGCAGUGAGAAUUUUCUGAUUGAUUUUAAUGGUAUCCACUGUCACAUUUCUGAAACCACUGUUACCCUGCAAAUAAUCAAACCCAUGGAGUUUCUGUCUCUGUGAUAGAUUGAGACUCACAAAAUAUAUUUGUACUGCUGCUAAAAAUGCUCUUAGUGCUUACUUAUGCAUCUCAAUGAAAAGUAAGUGCUCACCCUGUAGGCAGAAG
rnacentral:lncRNA from 1 species